rnacentral:rRNA from 1 species
AGUGAACGCUGGCGGUAGGCCUAACACAUGCAAGUCGAACGGCAGCACAGUAAGAGCUUGCUCUUACGGGUGGCGAGUGGCGGACGGGUGAGGAAUACAUCGGAAUCUACUUUUUCGUGGGGGAUAACGUAGGGAAGCUUACGCUAAUACCGCAUACGACCUACGGGUGAAAGCAGGGGAUCUUCGGACCUUGCGCGAUUGAAUGAGCCGAUGUCGGAUUAGCUAGUUGGCGGGGUAAAGGCCCACCAAGGCGACGAUCCGUAGCUGGUCUGAGAGGAUGAUCAGCCACACUGGAACUGAGACACGGUCCAGACUCCUACGGGAGGCAGCAGUGGGGAAUAUUGGACAAUGGGCGCAAGCCUGAUCCAGCCAUACCGCGUGGGUGAAGAAGGCCUUCGGGUUGCAAAGCCCUUUUGUUGGGAAAGAAAAGCAGCAGGUUAAUACCCCGCUGUUCUGACGGUACCCAAAGAAUAAGCACCGGCUAACUUCGUG